rnacentral:rRNA from 1 species
UGUGACAUGCUCAGAACYGAMGAACGCUGGGCGGCGUGCCUAACACAUGCAAGUCGAACGGUAACAGGGACUUCGGUCCGCUGACGAGUGGCGCACGGGUGAGUAACGCGUGGAGUUACCUACCCAUCAGUGAGGAACAACCUGGAGAAAUCCAGGCUAAUACCGCAUACGACCUUCGGGUGAAAGAGGGGGAUCUUCGGACCUCUCGCUGAUGGAUGGUUCCGCGUCCGAUUAGUUAGUUGGUAAGGUAAUGGCUUACCAAGACGAUGAUCGGUAGCUGGUUUGAGAGGAUGAUCAGCCACACUGGAACUGAGACACGGUCCAGACUCCUACGGGAGGCAGCAGUGGGGAAUUUUGCACAAUGGGCGCAAGCCUGAUGCAGCGACGCCGCGUGCGGGAAGAAGGCCUUCGGGUUGUAAACCGCUUUCAACAGGGAAGAAGGAAUGAGGGUCAAUACCCCUCUGCCUUGACGGUACCUGUAGAAGAAGCCCCGGCUAAUUUCGUGCCAGCAGCCGCGGUAAUACGAAAGGGGCAAGCGUUGUUCGGAUUUACUGGGCGUAAAGAGAUCGUAGGUGGCUUGUUAAGUCGGAUGUGAAAUCCCGGGGCUCAACCCCGGAACUGCAUUCGAUACUGGCAGGCUUGAGUUCGGGAGGGGGAAGCGGAAUUCCGUGUGUAGCAGUGAAAUGCGUAGAUAUACGGAGGAACACCUGAGGCGAAGGCGGCUUCCUGGACCGAUACUGACACUGAGGAUCGAAAGCGUGGGUAGCAAACAGGAUUAGAUACCCUGGUAGUCCACGCCCUAAACGAUGUCUACUAGCCGUUGCGGGUAUCGACCCCUGCAGUGGCGCAGCUAACGCAAUAAGGUAGACCGSCUGGGGGGAGUMCGGCSSCAAGCURACACUCUCAAAAUGAUGCUCG